UCUAAAUUGACAGGAGUUAGACCUAGAUCUAAUCUAGGCCUACAUAUAACAUGUUAGCCUUUAGACUACAUGUAAAUGUAGAAUGUUAUGUAGUAGGCUCAUGAGUCAUGUAUUGAACUCAAUAUUUUGUUUUCAUUCAUUUCAUUUUCUUCAGAGUCGGAGAUGGAGUGGACCUGAAAUCAUAUCCAAGAAAAAGACCUCUAGAUCUAGUCUAAGACUUCUCUCCCAUCGUGUCUUCAACGUCCUGGACUAACUUCUCAUCCUACCUUGGCCCCGAUGAAAGGGUUUGGAUCUGCAUAAUGUAAUCCGAUUCAAGGUGUACUGCAAGAUCCUACCGUGCUAAGUGGCCCUUUGUGAUCUUCUUAGCAAAGUUUGAACACCGACAUUACAAUAAGGGUUGCAAAGUAAAGAUCUGUGGCAUCUACAUGAAACGCAAACUCAUGGCAUCUGGACUUUCAUACCUAAGGUCUUGUCCAUCUCUUCAAGUUGAAAAGACUGCAGAGCUUGAAUCCCCUGCAACAUUAUGCUUCAUAUGAAACAUCAGCCAGCCUACAGAUACAAACUCCCUUUUCAGCUCUAAGCAAGAAGGACCACAAUGCUAAACAGAUCGUGGACUGGUCGCUUUCUCAUUUAACUACGACUUCCAGUGAAACAGAUUAUCAAACUAACUCGUCUGAAGAUAUUGAAAGUGCUCCAGUCCGUGUACUAAAAUUUGACAUUGAGUAUGAGAAUAUUGGUAAGAUUUCAUCAAGUAAUAUUUUAAAGGAACACUCUUAACUUUCUUGCUUUCUCAAUCUUCAUAUAAACAUAUAAUUAUCUUGUUUACACUUUAGCAACCCUUCACAAGGUCUAUUUAGUAACAGCACCAGACAGAGGGGAGCGUAUUAUCUUGUUUACACUUUAGCAACCCUUCACAAGGUCUAUUUAGUAACAGCACCAGACAGAGGGGAGCGUAUUAUCUUGUUUACACUUUAGCAACCCUUCACAAGGUCCAUUUAGUAACAGCACCAAACAGAAGAGAGGAGAGAGAGACUGGUGCACUUUUAAUAUCUUCAGAUGAGUUCAUUUGAAAAUCUGUUUCACUGGAAGUCGAAGUUAAAUGAGAAAGCGACCAGUCCUCUUGCUAAACAUUUUCAAUGAUACUUCCAAGAAAUUCUAUUCUUUUAAAUAGAAUUGUAGAAUCUUGCUUAAGGAAAAAAAAAAAAAUUACAGUUGAAAGAUAAAACUAAAGUUCUUAUCCGAAUUAAAGUUUAAUAUCUUGCUAUUUUUUAAAGUGUUGUUACUGAUCUAUAAAUCUAUGAUUCUGUAAUGGA